CGCCUCGUGGGGUAGUGGUCAUCCUUGCGCAUGAGUCAUCUAGAAGCCGCAGACUCUGGUUCGAUUCCAGACGAGGCCG